rnacentral:rRNA from 1 species
UGGGGAAUAUUGGACAAUGGGCGAAAGCCUGAUCCAGCCAUGCCGCGUGUGUGAAGAAGGUCUUCGGAUUGUAAAGCACUUUAAGUUGGGAGGAAGGGCAUUAACCUAAUACGUUAGUGUUUUGACGUUACCGACAGAAUAAGCACCGGCUAACUCUGUGCCAGCAGCCGCGGUAAUACAGAGGGUGCAAGCGUUAAUCGGAAUUACUGGUCGUAAAGCGCGCGUAGGUGGUUUGUUAAGUUGGAUGUGAAAUCCCCGGGCUCAACCUGGGAACUGCAUUCAAAACUGACUGACUAGAGUAUGGUAGAGGGUGGUGGAAUUUCCUGUGUAGCGGUGAAAUGCGUAGAUAUAGGAAGGAACACCAGUGGCGAAGGCGACCACCUGGACUAAUACUGACACUGAGGUGCGAAAGCGUGGGGAGCAAACA